rnacentral:rRNA from 1 species
CGGCUGCAGGACUCUGAUGCAGCAACGCCGCGUGGAGGAUGACGCAUUUCGGUGUGUAAACUCCUUUUAUGAGUCAAGAAAAUGACGGUAGCUCAUGAAUAAGCACCGGCUAACUCCGUGCCAGCAGCCGCGGUAAUAAUCCGUG